UACGGAGGGUGCAAGCGUUAAUCGGAAUUACUGGGCGUAAAGGGUGCGUAGGCGGUUCGGUAAGUCUGUCGUGAAAUCCCCGGGCUCAACCUGGGAAUGGCGAUGGAUACUGGCGAGCUAGAGUGUGUCAGAGGAUGGUGGAAUUCCCGGUGUAGCGGUGAAAUGCGUAGAGAUCGGGAGGAACAUCAGUGGCGAAGGCGGCCAUCUGGGACAACACUGACGCUGAAGCACGAAAGCGUGGGGAGCAAACAGG
rnacentral:rRNA from 1 species